UACGUAGGGCGCAAGCGUUGUCCGGAAUUAUUGGGCGUAAAGAGCUCGUAGGCGGUUUGUCGCGUCUGCUGUGAAAACUCAGGGCUUAACCCUGAGCCUGCAGUGGGUACGGGCAGACUAGAGUGUGGUAGGGGAGAUCGGAAUUCCUGGUGUAGCGGUGGAAUGCGCAGAUAUCAGGAGGAACACCGGUGGCGAAGGCGAGUCUCUGGGAUGAUGCUGACGCUGAGGCGCGGAAGCCAGGGGAGCAAACGGG
rnacentral:rRNA from 1 species